AUCACCUUUCCUGCCCAAAGGUGCCCUUAAUAAACAAAUCAAUCUGCCUGCAGGGAGCCCCAGGAGGACACUGGCCUUGCCCUUGGUCACAUCCUUUGGCCUCCCCAUGGGGAGAGCUCCGUGCUGGGAAGAGGGGAUGGAGGGUACCUGGGUACCUGAACAGGGCAGGCAAAGCUGCUGCCUGUGCCCACGUGUGCUGUCCACCUGCAGCCACCAAAUCCAGCAGGAAUUGUCCUCUGUGGGCAGCAGCUGGCAGAGAGGGCUGCUUGUGCACCCCAGUGCUGCUCCCUGCACCCUGACAGCAGGGCACAUCUGGGAAGGAGCUGUGCCAGCACAUCCCUGCUCCUCCUGCCAUCACUCACUUGGCUCCUGCCCCAGAGCGAGGAUCCAGCAAGAACAGCACUGUCUGCAGGGCAGCACUGAGGCUCCAUCAUCAUCCCAUCCCAUCAGCUCCACCAUCACCCCAUCUUACAGGCCCCAUCCUCAUCCCAGGGGGUUCCAUCAUCAUCCCAUCAGCUCCACCAUCCCAUCCCACCCCACAGGCUCCAUCCCAGUGAAGCCCAGGGGCCCUGCUGGUGCCCCAUGGAAGGGGUCACCAAAAAGCAGCAGCCAGGAGGAAUUUCUUCCCCUCCCUGCAAUGAAAAUCCAGCUGGGGAAGGAAGGACAGAAGGAGGCUGGGAAGAGCAUCCUGUGCCCAGGGCAUGGUGUUCCCAUGAGGGAAGAGGGCCCAAGGGCAGGAGAUCCCAAGAAGGGCUCCCAAAGUGCUGCCUCAGCCCCCCCAGUGCGUCCUGGCUGCGGCAGCAGUUGCAGGGACAUUGUGGCUCUGUGGGAACACCGUGUCCCUCCUGCACAGGGAUGGGCUGGGCUGGAUGGAGGAUGCUUCGGGGGGGAGCAUCUGCCAGGCUGCAAAAAGUGCUGUCACAUCCCCAGCCCGACCCUGGAACCAGGAUGGGCCUCUCCGAGCAGGAGCUGGGCACUUCAAAGGGUAAUUUCUCUGAGCUUGGGAGGUUUAGGGCAUCAGUCCCUAAAUCCCUGGUCCCUGGGCACACUCAUUCCCUACACUGAUGUCCUCUCCUGCCCUGACCAUGGGUCAGAUCUGACUCCAAAUUUUGGCUCUCCCACAGGCUGCCAGAGCCAGUCCAGAGCCCAGGCAGGGUCAGGAAUAAGACAGAUCCACAAAGCAUCCUCCAAAGAGCUCCAGGGUCCUGCCAAAGGGCACAAACUCCAGCAAAAGCUGGAGACUGAUGUCACAUUUAGGGAGACGUGGCCAUGAACUUCCCCUCCU
rnacentral:lncRNA from 1 species